CCAUAUCACGUGCGAUCACCGUAGUUAAGCAACGCUAAUUCUGGUCAGUACUUAGAUGAGUGACCGCUUGGGAAUAACAGGUGCUGUAA